UGAAGUCCGUAUAUACAUUAAUGACGAUUUGAGACAAAUAAGUGUAAAUUUAAAACUAUGUAUAUGGCGCUAUACGCUGCAGACAGACGCGAAAUGGCACCGCCGGUACACACACAUACCCUGUGUCUCCAAAGGUCGUGAAUCAGUAUAUAGUGUACACAAGUUCGGGCACUGGUAAGGACUUUAGCUCACUUGACAUUGGGACACUGUUCACUUUAUCCUGUGAUGUGGCUGCUUAAAGGUGUUGUGAUCACUCACAGCUGUUACGCAUCAACAACCGGCAAAACCAACAGCUCUCUGACUAAAUUUUUAAACAAUACAUUGUGAAAAACGCUGUCAUUAUCCUCUUAUAUAUCCGUGCAUAAAAUUCGAGGAAUAUAAUUACAUUUUAAAUAUAUAUAUUUUUAACAAUUUUAAAUAAAUAUUAUUAUUUAUAUCAUGCGAUUUUCGGUUGGAGAUAUUCGAAAAGGUCACGUGAUUUGUGGUAAGGGAACAUGGGGAGUUGGGGACCAUCAAUGCUCACUGGGUUUUGCGUUGCAUUGAGUUAAGUUAUGUUUACCAGCUGCGCCAUGCUUAUAUUAUACAUUGUUCUACUGGCUGAAGUAGUGAGAUUUAAAGAAGCUGGUCAAGUCUUCAAAUUGUUGCUAACCUCUAUAUUGCUAUGUUUUCUCCAGGUCUUUUUAAAUGGACAGCUUUGUUGCUGAUAAGCUAACUGAGUGGUGGCUGUUUAAGCUGACAGAGACAUUUUUGAGGCCGUCUACAGUGUUGGGAAGAAGACAAUCCGGCACUCCACUGAAGAGUCCUGGACAGCGUUCAUACACCAAAUGUCUGUUGGAACAAAUAUGGUGGAAUACAGUGGCGGCUCGUGACUGCUCAUCCGAGGAUGCGCUAAUUCAAAAUGAGUGUUCAGAUUGUCACGUGUGUGGUUUCCUUUUCCAAAAUAUGUGUCCUGCGUGUUGAGAGAUCCUGUGUUCAUCACAUGUUUUAUCACAAUACGUGCCUGCUGCACACGCGUCAAAACUGUUUAUGAUAAAAGAGACACUCAUGUUCACAAAAUACACACUAGACACUUUCUUAACAGUAAACUCUGAUUACGCAUGAGAUUAUGGCAGUAUUUGGCAAACGCAAUCAUCUCUUUUAUCAUAAACCCUUUAGACGCGUCUGCAGCAGGCACUUAUUUUGGCAUGACACGUGAUGCACACAUGAUCUCUCAAAGCGCAGAACACAUAUUUGGAAAUAACAAACCACACACAUGACGGGCUACAUACAUGUUGUGACGAACUUCGCAUCGAGCGCCCUCAAAAAAUAAGUCACCGGCCCCCACUGAUGAAAUACCUUCAGCAAUCGAAGCCAUUUCCCUCUGGGAGAUCUUAAGCUGCAGUAAAAGACACAACCAAUGUUUGAAGACUUAAAGCCUCAAGUUCAAUUCAGUUAUUGAAUGUUGUCAAAUGUUUGAGAGAGAAUGUUUGAGAGUUGUUUAUUUUUCUAUUUUUCCUUUCUAAUGUUAUUACAGUGUGACCUAAAAUAAAUAGGUCAAAGUGUGUGUUUUUUAUAUAGAAUUUAAUUGAAUGCAAUAAAAAUGUAAAACUGA